GAUGAACGCUAGCGGCAGGCUUAAUACAUGCAAGUCGAGGGGCAGCACGAAUAGCAAUAUUUGGUGGCGACCGGCAAACGGGUGCGGAACACGUACGCAACCUUCCUUUAAGUGGGGAAUAGCCCGGGGAAACCCGGAUUAAUACCCCGUAAUAUUAUGAUGUGGCAUCACUUUAUAAUUAUAGAUUCAUCGCUUAAAGAUGGGCGUGCGCCUGAUUAGGUAGUUGGCGGGGUAACGGCCCACCAAGCCUUCGAUCAGUAACUGGUGUGAGAGCACGACCAGUCACACGGGCACUGAGACACGGGCCCGACUCCUACGGGAGGCAGCAGUAAGGAAUAUUGGUCAAUGGACGCAAGUCUGAACCAGCCAUGCCGCGUGGAGGAUGAAGGUCCUCUGGAUUGUAAACUUUCUUUUAUUUGGGAAGAAAUG
rnacentral:rRNA from 1 species